rnacentral:rRNA from 1 species
CCUACGGGAGGCAGCAGUGGGGAAUAUUGCGCAAUGGGCGAAAGCCUGACGCAGCGACGCCGCGUGAGGGAUGAAGGCCUUCGGGUCGUAAACCUCUUUCAGCAGGGAAGAAGCGAAAGUGACGGUACCUGCAGAAGAAGCACCGGCUAACUACGUGCCAGCAGCCGCGGUAAUACGUAGGGUGCAAGCGUUGUCCGGAAUUAUUGGGCGUAAAGAGCUCGUAGGCGGUCUGUCGCGUCUGCUGUGAAAACUCAGGGCUUAACCCUGAGCUUGCAGUGGGUACGGGCAGACUAGAGUGCGGUAGGGGAGACUGGAAUUCCUGGUGUAGCGGUGAAAUGCGCAGAUAUCAGGAGGAACACCGGUGGCGAAGGCGGGUCUCUGGGCCGUAACUGACGCUGAGGAGCGAAAGCAUGGGGAGCGAACAGGAUUAGAUACCCUGGUAGUCCAUGCCGUAAACGUUGGGCGCUAGGUGUGGGGCUCGAUUCCACGAGUUCCGUGCCGCAGCUAACGCAUUAAGCGCCCCGCCUGGGGAGUACGGCCGCAAGGCUAAACGUUAAAUGAAUUGACGG